rnacentral:rRNA from 1 species
UUAAAUUGAAGAGUUUGAUCAUGGCUCAGAUUGAACGCUGGCGGCAGGCCUAACACAUGCAAGUCGAGCGGAAACGAGUUGUC